AGACAGGUUAGUUUUACCCUACUGAUGAAGUGGUCGCCGCAACAGUAAUCCAAUUCAGUACGAGAGGAACCGUUGGUUCACAUAAUUGGUCAAUUCAGUUGAUUGAAACGUCAAUGCUGAGAAGCUACCAUGUGUAGGAUUACGGCUGAACGCCUCUAAGCCAGAAUCCAUGCUGGAAAGCGGCGAUAUGCAGCCUUCCCAAGAUGUUAUCAUGAGUACGUAUAGGUUUUGACUCUGUUAAAACCCAAGAUCAUAAAAUUGCUACGGCACUGUCGGCGCGUAAAAGCUGGUCCGACAGACGAAGCUGAACACAAGUUCAAAUAUCGGGAGGGACAAAUCCUUUGUAGACGACUUAAAUAAAGAACUAGGUAUUGUACGCAUGAGAGUGGCCUUUGUGCCACGAUCUGCUGAGAUUCAGCCUACGUU
rnacentral:rRNA from 1 species